CGCCGCCUGCAGUGUUCGACACGGUCCGGGUUACCUCUCGACCUUAAGUCCAACACCCAGGGGAUCUGGUCUGUCGGCACCCGUGUGCAUGUCCGCCAUGAGCGGAAAGCCUUCAGGUGCUGCGGCCUUUCCCCGCCUAUUGCUCCACGUCGAGAGCAAUGGCUCGUGACGGCACAGGCGGGCGGCGC
rnacentral:other from 1 species